rnacentral:tRNA from 2 species
GCCCGGAUGGCGGAACUGGUAGACGCAAGGGACUUAAAAUCCCUCGAAGGUGACUUCGUGCCGGUUCGAUUCCGGCUCCGGGCACCA